rnacentral:rRNA from 1 species
CGCGGGGCAAAAAAACCGNCCNNUNGGNUUNAAACNGUUUUNAUCUGNAAAAAAAAAGUCCAUGCGUGAAAAAUUGCCGGUACCAGAUGAAUAAGCACCGGCUAACUCCGUGCCAGCAGCCGCGGUAAUACGGAGGGUGCAAGCGUUGUCCGGAUUUAUUGGGUUUAAAGGGUGCGUAGGCGGCUGAAUAAGUCAGCGGUGAAAGACUUCGGCUUAACCGGAGCAGUGCCGUUGAUACUGUUUAGCUUGAGUGUUGGAGGGGUACAUGGAAUUGAUGGUGUAGCGGUGAAAUGCAUAGAUACCAUCAGGAACACCGAUAGCGAAGGCAUUGUACUGGCCAACAACUGACGCUGAGGCACGAAAGUGUGGGGAUCGAACAGGAUUAGAUACCCUGGUAGUCCACACCGUAAACGAUGAUUACUCGCUGUUAUGGUGUAUGCUGUAGCGGCCAAGCGAAAGCGUUAAGUAAUCCACCUGGGGAGUACGCCGGCAACGGUGAAACUCAAAGGAAUU